CCCUGCCAUUUGUACACACCGCCCGUCGCUACUACCGAUUGAAUGGCUUAGUGAGGCAUCGGGAGUGGCCGGCCCAGAGGGCGACCUCUCAGCUGGCUGCAAACCUUGUCAAACUUGGUCAUUUAGAGGAAGUAAAAGUCGUAACAAGGU
rnacentral:rRNA from 1 species